ACGAGUGGCGGACGGGUGAGUAAUGUCUGGGAAACUGCCUGAUGGAGGGGGAUAACUACUGGAAACGGUAGCUAAUACCGCAUAACGUCGCAAGACCAAAGAGGGGGACCUUCGGGCCUCUUGCCAUCGGAUGUGCCCAGAUGGGAUUAGCUUGUUGGUGGGGUAACGGCUCACCAAGGCGACGAUCCCUAGCUGGUCUGAGAGGAUGACCAGCCACACUGGAACUGAGACACGGUCCAGACUCCUACGGGAGGCAGCAGUGGGGAAUAUUGCACAAUGGGCGCAAGCCUGAUGCAGCCAUGCCGCGUGUAUGAAGAAGGCCUUCGGGUUGUAAAGUACUUUCAGCGGGGAGGAAGGGAGUAAAGUUAAUACCUUUGCUCAUUGACGUUACCCGCAGAAGAAGCACCGGCUAACUCCGUGCCAGCAGCCGCGGUAAUACGGAGGGUGCAAGCGUUAAUCGGAAUUACUGGGCGUAAAGCGCACGCAGGCGGUUUGUUAAGUCAGAUGUGAAAUCCCCGGGCUCAACCUGGGAACUGCAUCUGAUACUGGCAAGCUUGAGUCUCGUAGAGGGGGGUAGAAUUCCAGGUGUAGCGGUGAAAUGCGUAGAGAUCUGGAGGAAUACCGGUGGCGAAGGCGGCCCCCUGGACGAAGACUGACGCUCAGGUGCGAAAGCGUGGGGAGCAAACAGGAUU
rnacentral:rRNA from 1 species